rnacentral:misc_RNA from 1 species
GAUGAAGAACGCAGCGAAAUGCGAUAAGUAAUGUGAAUUGCAGAAUUCAGUGAAUCAUCGAAUCUUUGAACGCACAUUGCGCCCGCCAGUAUUCUGGCGGGCAUGCCUGUCUGAGCGUCAUUUCAACCCUCAUGCCCCUAGGGCGUGGUGUUGGUGAUCGGCCAAAGCCCGCGAGGGACGGCCGGCCCCUAAAUCUAGUGGCGGACCCGUCGUGGCCUCCUCUGCGAAGUAGUGAUAUUCCGCAUCGGAGAGCGAUGAGCCCCUGCCGUUAAACCCCCAACUUUCCAAGGUUGACCUCAGAUCAGGUAGGAAUACCCGCUGAACUUAAGCAUAUCAAUAAGCGGAGGA